CUUUUCUAGGGAGGCUGCUGGGGAUAAUCUGGGCAGCUGGGACCAAGGAGAUGGAGGGAGCAAGGAGCAGAGAAAGAGCUCAUGAUAAUCCACCAAGUGGAUUCCUGCAAUGUUCAUGGCUUUUGGGCUGCUGGGAACAGAGCCUGGGACUGAUGAGCCCCUCCAGCAUCCUCAUCUCAGGGACCCUGACUGCUGCACCCCACCCCGUAUGACCCACGCUGAAUGUCUGUUCCAGUAUCCCCUCCUCCUAUCCUGGGGCUGGAGAGGCGGAAGGGAGUCCAAAGGAGAAAGUGACACAGACU